rnacentral:tRNA from 1 species
AGGGAUAUGGCGAAAUUGGUAGACGCUACAGACUUAAAAUUUGUUGAUUCAUUGAAUCGUGAGGGUUCAAAUCCCUUUAUCCCUA